GGUAAGGAGAAAUCUGAAUUACAAGAAUGCGCUUUGUGCUGCAUUCUCACAUAUUUGGUGGUUUCCUCCCUUAUCCCUCUUCCUCGAAUUUCCUUUUACGAUCCCCACACAGGAGGUAAACAUCCCACCGUCCCACGCUUUUCUGCUGUGUCAAUUGCACAUCCCUACGGUUCGCUACUCAAUGAGGCUGCGCCUAGGCCUGUAUCCAAUCGGAUACAGCCUAGGGCUCCUCGGGGCGGGGAUUGGUUCCUCAGCUCUUGCGAGUUUCCCUUAACUGCAGCGACCCGACAACCGGAAGUGAGCCAGAGAGUCGACAAAGUUAUUUGUUGUUGCCCGAAAUCUGGAGAAUAAAGCUCUACUGUGUGAUGGCUGCUGAGAAGGUGCCGGUGAACAGCGUGGAAGAAGAGCAACCCCUCUCCGGCGGCCGAGUAGCUGGCUGCUCAGAAACGCGAACAGAGACUGCACAAAUGCCAGGAGCUGCACCUGAAGCGGGUGAGUAGUCCCGGAGGCCAACUCAGACCUCUCAGUUGGCCAGGCCCAUGCGGCGUUCACAGAGGGACGAGGAAGCUGAACCAGUCGGCCUUACAGACGGUAGGGCUGAAUUAUCUUCCAAGAUGAAACAUCUAGCCCGGUGAUUCUCAACCUUGGCAGCACGUUGGAAUCGUUUUGAGAACUUUUUCAGAAAUACACAUGCUCAGGCUUCAUUUCUGUAGUGUCUGAUGUCGCUGACUCAUAAUUGACUAGUUUGAAGAAUGGUCCCAUUCACCAUAUUUCUUUUGGAUUAGGCAGAGGUAACAGAGUAUACAUGAAAAUUCUGUGUCAAAGUGGUGUGACAUACUAAAACCGUUGCCAUUGAGUUGAUUCAUAGCAGCCCUAUACGACAAAGUAGAACUGCCCCAUAGGGUUUCCAAGGCUAUCAUCUUCACAGUUUAUGGAAGCAGACUGCCACAUCUUUCUCCUGCAGAGUGGCUGGUGGGUUCAAACCACCAACCCCUCAGUUAGCAGCUGAGCACUUAACCACUGUGCCACCAGUAACAUAUUUACUGCCCUCAUAUUUCAGUAUGAAUCUGAGUUAUUUCCCAAUCCUCAAUCCAGAUCAUCUGACAGUACUAACUUAUAAAUUAAAAUGAAAGUCAACAAAGUUCAUUAAACAGGUUUCUUUGUAGAAUGUUUUUCUUAAGGUAUUG